AGAGUUUGAUCCUGGCUCAGGACGAACGCUGGCGGCGUGCCUAAUACAUGCAAGUCGAGCGGAGUUGAAAGAGUGCUUGCACUCUGGAUGCUUAGCGGCGGACGGGUGAGUAACACGUGGGCAACCUGCCUGUAAGAUUGGGAUAACUGUCGGAAACGGCGGCUAAUACCGAAUAGAUGACAUGUUCGCAUGGACGUGUUAGGAAACGCGGAGCAAUCUGCGGCUUACGGAUGGGCCUGCGGCGCAUUAGCUAGUUGGCGAGGUAAAGGCUCACCAAGGCGACGAUGCGUAGCCGACCUGAGAGGGUGACCGGCCACACUGAGACUGAGACACGGCCCAGACUCCUACGGGAGGCAGCAGUAGGGAAUCUUCCGCAAUGGACGAAAGUCUGACGGAGCAACGCCGCGUGAGUGAGGAAGGUCUUCGGAUCGUAAAGCUCUGUUGCCAAGGAAGAACGGCAAGGAGAGUAACUGCUCUUUGUUUGACGGUACUUGAGAAGAAAGCACCGGCCAACUACGUGCCAGCAGCCGCGGUAAUACGUAGGGUGCGAGCGUUGUCCGGAAUUACUGGGCGUAAAGAGCUCGUAGGUGGUUUGUCACGUUGUCCGUGAAAACUCACAGCUUAACUGUGGGCGUGCGGGCGAUACGGGCAGACUAGAGUACUGUAGGGGAGACUGGAAUUCCUGGUGUAGCGGUGGAAUGCGCAGAUAUCAGGAGGAACACCGGUGGCGAAGGCGGGUCUCUGGGCAGUAACUGACGCUGAGGAGCGAAAGCGUGGGGAGCGAACAGGAUUAGAUACCCUGGUAGUCCACGCCGUAAACGGUGGGUACUAGGUGUGGGUUUCCUUCCUUUAGGGAUCCGUGCCGUAGCUGACGCAUUAAGUACCCCGCCUGGGGAGUACGGCCGCAAGGCUAAAACUCAAAGGAAUUGACGGGGGCCCGCACAAGCGGCGGAGCAUGUGGAUUAAUUCGAUACAACGCGAAGAACCUUACCUGGGUUUGACAUGCACAGGACGCCGGUAGAGAUAUCGGUUCCCUUGUGGCCUGUGUGCAGGUGGUGCAUGGCUGUCGUCAGCUCGUGUCGUGAGAUGUUGGGUUAAGUCCCGCAACGAGCGCAACCCUUGUCUCAUGUUGCCAGCACGCAACGGUGGGGACUCGUGAGAGACUGCCGGGGUCAACUCGGAGGAAGGUGGGGAUGACGUCAAGUCAUCAUGCCCCUUAUGUCCAGGGCUUCACACAUGCUACAAUGGCCGGUACAAAGGGCUGCGAUCCCGUGAGGGUUAGCGAAUCCUUUAAAGCCGGUCUCAGUUCGGAUUGGGGUCUGCAACUCGACCCCAUGAAGUCGGAGUCGCUAGUAAUCGCAGAUCAGCAACGCUGCGGUGAAUACGUUCCCGGGCCUUGUACACACCGC
rnacentral:rRNA from 1 species